rnacentral:rRNA from 1 species
UACGUAGGGUGCGAGCGUUGUCCGGAAUUAUUGGGCGUAAAGAGCUCGUAGGCGGUCUGUCGCGUCGAUCGUGAAAACUUGGGGCUUAACCCUGAGCUUGCGGUCGAUACGGGCAUGACUGGAGUUCGGCAGGGGAGACUGGAAUUCCUGGUGUAGCGGUGAAAUGCGCAGAUAUCAGGAAGAACACCCGUGGCCAAAGCGGCUCUCUGGAACGGUACUGACGCUGAGACGCGAAAGCGUGGGGAGCGAACAGG